rnacentral:other from 1 species
AGUCUCCUGGGGUGUUCGCCAGUCGGUACAGUCCUUGAGCCGUUAGAAAUAACAAUGGGGGCUCCGCUGUGGAGCCGGUGAGCAAGCCCUAUGCUGCCGCCCCAUGCCGUUUCGGGCGUCGGGCGUCGUGCUGCGGGACGCCUUUGGCACAUAUGAAUCCCCGACCUGAACCAGAACGGUUCAGGCAGUCCAGACAGCGGCACGCUUGGGAGACCA